AUGGCGUCUGACGGUGAAGACGUUAUUGCAGUUGUCACAGUUCAAUGUUCUUAAUCUGUGCCUCCAUGUACACAUAUAUGUCCUUUAUUACACUCUAGUAAAUAGAGUAAACAUCGUUAAUAACUGUUUGCAUCCGGUUAUAUUAGUCUGAGCGCACUUUGAUGCUUCUCGAGCUAGCUUAGCCUGCUAGUUAGCUUAGCUUGUUAGCUGCUAACAAAGAGAGGCGGAAGUGAUCAAACACAUCACUAAGUAGAGAUCAAGUGUGAGUGUAAAGUGUUGUGAUUGUGUGAAAAUGUGCCAAAGAACCACAGCAGAGUACGAGGAGGAACUUUGUCCAACAAAAGAGGAGAAGGAGCGACAACAUGAAAAACAUCAAGUUGUGUUGCACAGAACAGGUUUACACAAAACUCACACAGUCACCGGGGGAAUAUUCCAGAGAGCAGGUUAAGUGCAAAGUCCUGAGUAUGUAAAGCUCGAGAGUUUUACCUCCAAAAAUAAGAGAGACAUCCAUCAGCUGAUUGGACACCAAGAAGAAUGUCUCCCUCAUCUGCAGGGGGACAGUUUCACUGUAAAGUAUCCACAGCCCUCACAUUUUAAAGGGGACAAAGAUGAGCCACAGCCCUCUUAUUUCAAAGAGGAAGAGGAGGAAGAGUGUCCUGUAGGGCAGGAGGAGGCUGAUGUCAGCAAGUUUCCACUGACUGUUGUCUCUGUGAAGACUGAAGAGCAUGAAGACAAACCACCUGAGUCCUCACAGCUUCAUCACAGUCCAAACAUCUGUGAAGAACAUCUUCACCCUGAGCAACAGAAGUGGAGCUUCAGGAUGCGAACGGAGGAGCCACAGCCCUUCCACAUUAAGAAGGAAGAGGAAUACCUACUGACCCCCAUUUUUAAAGAGGAAGAGGAGGACCCACAGACACCCCAUUUUAAAAAGGAAGUGGUGGAUCCACUGAGCCCUCACAUUAAAGAGGAAGAGGAAGAACACAGCAUCAAUCAGCAGGGAGAGCAUCUUGAAGGACUGGAGGAGGUUGAUGUCACCAAGAUGCCAGUGACUGGUGUCCCUGUGAAGAGUGAAGAUGAUGAGGUGAAAGGUGAAAGUGAGGAGAGGGGAGGGGGGGAGCCUCCAAGCAGCAGCUCAACACAACACAUGACAACAGAAGCUGAUGGAGACCACUGUGGAGGAUCACAAGCAGACAAGCUCUUAGCUCCACUAUCAGAUAGUGAGGACACAACGUCACACUCUCCUGACACUGAUGAUGAAGACUCUAAAGAUGAUAAGACAUGUCACACUGACAACACUCACUUCACAUCUUCUCUCUGUCACAAAACCUUUAAAUAUCCUAGUAAAUUGAAAAGACACAUGAGAACACACACUGGAGAAAAACCUUUUUCAUGUUCAAACUGCGGUAAACAUUUUACUCAGAUUUAAAAGUACACAUGAGAACACACACUGGAGAAAAACCUUUUUCAUGUUCAAUCUGUGGUAAAGGUUUUACAGAAAGUCAUAAUUUGAAAAGACACAAGAGAACACACACUGGAGAAAAACCUUUUUCCUGUUCGACCUGUGGUAAAGGUUUUACAGAAAGUCAGAAUGUGAAAGUACACAUGAGAACACACACUGGUGAAAAAACUUUUUCCUGUUCAAUAUGUGGUAAAGGUUUUACACAAAGUCAGAGUUUGAAAGUACACAAGAGAACACACUGGUGAAAAAACUUUUCCCUGUUCAAUCUGUGGUAAAGGUUUUACACAAAGUCAACAUUUGAAAGUACACAUGAGAAGACACGCUAGUGAAAAACCUUUUUCUUGUUCAAUCUGUGGUAAAGGUUUUACACAAAGUCAACAUUUGAAAAGACACACUAGAACACACACUGGAGAAAAAUCACAUUCCUGUUCAAUCUGCAACAGAAGCUUUUGUCAACAAUCAAAGCUUGUAGCACACAUGAGAAGACACCCAGGAGAGAAAGUGUUGAGUUGCAGUGUGUGUGGUGAAAGAUUGUCUUCUAAGUACCAGUGUAAGAAACACAAGUGUGCUGGUGAGAACAGCAGCAGCAAAUGAAACUGCAGGAUUUGAAAUAAACUGUCCAGACUUUCAUUUUGACUUUCUAACAACAUCAGCACAUAUAACAUGUGUGACAUUGUUGUUUGUUUAACAAUCUGGUUAAUAUGCUUCUGCAUUUAUAGAUUAAGAUAGUUUGAAAUAUGAAAGUAUUACAUAUUUGUAUUUGUAAUUGUUGAUAACCCCAUAGAUUAUCACCUUUAUAUGAUAUACAUAUGUACUGGUUCACAUCUGGAACAUCUUCUGGACCACUUCAGGAAGCAUAUUAUUAUUUACUUUAUACAUCAUUUAAACAGUUGUCUUUUAUACAAUUUUAAAAUGUCUGACCUUAUGAAUCAUUUGUUGGGUCUCUUUAAUUAUCGUUAUUACUCUGUAUUAUGAUGAUUGUGUUGUGAUUAUUUUAUAUGUAUGUCCCCAGACCUUUACGUAAUCUAAACGUGAGAGAAAAUGGCAGAUUAUUUUUGUGAAGGGAUGGUUUUGUUUUUACAAACUUACAUUUGUCGAUAUAUUAAAUAAAUCCAGUAUUGUGUUUGAAA